UUUUAUUUAUGUUGUGAAAAAAAUGCUAUCAGUUUGAAAAGUUCAAUUGUUUCCAAAUUGUUAAAAUGAGUCCCUAUCAAUCAUCAAAUGUUUUUUUGUAUCUGCAUCAAAUAAUUUUGGAUCUUAUGCAUUCUCAAGGUAUCAUCCCUAUCUCAGGGCUUCCAUAUGUGUUUCUUGUAUAGUCUAUUGUUUUGUUUUAUUUUAGUUGAUCAACAACUUAUAUAGCACAAGGUAAGUAUUAUGUCAUCCCCAUUUAUAGAUGAAAAAUCUCUGAUACAGAGUGGGUAAAUAAUUUUUAAAAUGUGAGCCCACCUUAUUUUAGUAAUAAGACUUCCUAUCCAUCUUCUUACUUGCUCAAACCAGAAUGCUGAAGAACCAACAAGUCAAAAUGUGAAAGUUGUGCCAUAAGGUAAGAAAAAAAUAAAUAUGUGAUGAAAAAGAAAAAAGAAAGGAAACAGCAGCAGCAAACAGUCUAAAACAGCAAAGAAAUUUGUCGGGGGCCAAACAUAAGAAUUUUAAGAUGAAAUGUGGCAAUAAAAUGCAAAUAAGAAAUAACACAAAGAAAUUGUGAAAGCUUAAGGAAAAAAAGAGGAUAAUGGAAUGAAAGAAG
rnacentral:lncRNA from 1 species